rnacentral:lncRNA from 10 species
CUGGGAGCUGUAGACCGGCGCUGUUCCUAUUCGGCCAUCUUGGCUCGAAAGAGAUGUACAGGUUUUAUGUGGAUAUAAGUUUUUAUUUCCCUGGGAUAAAUGCCCAAAAUGAGAUUGUAGUGUUAUGUGGGUGGACUAUCCUUUUGCUGAGCAGGACUGAAAUAUAAAACAGAAAACCUGAGAGGGAAGAAGUAACGCUAUAUAGAAGACAAUUCAUAAUGUAAAAAGGUCUGCAUGGAAGAGGAUUGAAGAGCCAGAUGACAGAUGAGAGCCAAAAGGUUUGGAGAUGCUGGCAGAAGACCCAAGACUCCUGGAUCAGAGACAAAAGAUUUAUUACUCACAGCACAGCAAACAGUUCCUUCCAUCAUCUCUCUCCCUCUGCUUGGAGAAGGACCACGAUAUUGAAAUGAGGCCAAAUAAUAACUCUACAAUGGCCGGUAAGUACAAAGAAGAAUCACGUCUUAUUUAAAAUCAAUAGUUAGAAAUGAUUAAAUUUAAUGAGGAAGGCGUGUAAAAAGCCAAGAUAGGCUGAAAGCAAUGCUUCUUGGGCCAAACAGCCAAGCUGUGGAUGCAGAGGAGUAGUUCUUGAAGGAAACUAAAAGUGCUAUCCCAAUAAGCACACAAAUGAUAAGAAAGCAAAUCUUAUUGCUGAAAUGUGUAACUACAACAUUCCCUUAAGGCAAAGCCUAAUCCAGAGCAAGGCCCUAGCUCUCUUCAACUCUAUGAAGGCUAAGCUGUAGAAAAAUAGUUAGAGGCUAACAGAAAUUGGUUCAUGAGGCUUAAGCAAUGAAGCCAUCUCCAUAACAUCAAAGUACAAGGUGAAGCAGCAAAUGCUGGUAUAAAAGCUACAGCAAGUUAUCUGAAAAAUCUAGCUGAGAUCAUUGAUGAAGGCGG